rnacentral:rRNA from 1 species
UCGAGAAUUUUUCUCAAUGGGCGAAAGCCUGAAGGAGCGACGCCGCGUGGGGGAUGAAUGGCUUCGGCCCGUAAACCCCUGUCAUUUGCGAACAAACCUAACCACCUAACACGUCAAGAGCUGAUUGUAGCGAAAGAGGAAGGGACGGCUAACUCUGUGCCAGCAGCCGCGGUAAUACAGAGGUCCCAAGCGUUGUUCGGAUUUACUGGGCGUAAAGGGUGCGUAGGUGGUGAGGUAAGUCUGACGUGAAAGCUCGGAGCUUAACUCCGAAAUGGCAUUGGAAACUACCUUGCUGGAGGGUUGGAGGGGGGACUGGAAUACUUGGUGUAGCAGUGAAAUGCGUAGAUAUCAAGUGGAACACCAGUGGCGAAGGCGAAUCCCUGGACAACUCCUGACACUGAGGCACGAAAGCUAGGGGAGCAAACGGGAUUAGAUACCCCCGUAGUCC